CAGUAGCCACGGGAAUACGGAGGGAGCUAGCGUUGUUCGGAAUUACUGGGCGUAAAGCGCGCGUAGGCGGUUAUUUAAGUCAGGGGUGAAAGCCCGGUGCUCAACACCGGAACAGCCCUUGAGACUGGAUAACUUGAAUCCAGGAGAGGUGAGUGGAAUUCCGAGUGUAGAGGUGAAAUUCGUAGAUAUUCGGAAGAACACCAGAGGCGAAGGCGACUGACUGGACAAGUAUUGACGCUGAGGUGCGAAAGCGUGGGGAGCAAACAGGAUUAGAUACCCCAUAGUCCCUGUCUCUUAUACA
rnacentral:rRNA from 1 species